CUAUAAUGCAGUCGAGCGAGCCGAACUAAUUGAUUACCUUCGGGUAUGAAGUUAGGGAAGCGAGCGGCGGAUGGGUGAGUAACACGUGGGUAACCUACCCUAUAGUCUGGGAUACCACUUGGAAACAGGUGCUAAUACCGGAUAAAAGGAGAGAUCACAUGAUUUCUUUUUGAAAGGCGGCGUAAGCUGUCGCUAAAGGAUGGACCCGCGGUGCAUUAGCUAGUUGGUAAGGUAACGGCUUACCAAGGCAACGAUGCGUAGCCGAGUUGAGAGACUGAUCGGCCACAUUGGGACUGAGACACGGCCCAAACUCCUACGGGAGGCAGCAGUAGGGAAUCUUCCACAAUGGACGCAAGUCUGAUGGAGCAACGCCGCGUGAGUGAAGAAGGUUUUCGGAUCGUAAAGCUCUGUUGUUGGUGAAGAAAGAUAGUGAGAGUAACUGCUCAUUAUUUGCCGGUAAUCAACCAGAAAGUCACGGCUAACUACGUGCCAGCAGCCGCGGUAAUACGUAGGUGGCAAGCGUUGUCCGGAUUUAUUGGGCGUAAAGCGAGCGCAGGCGGAAAGAUAAGUCAGAUGUGAAAGCCCUCGGCUUAACCGAGGAAUAGCAUCGGAAACUGUCUUUCUUGAGUGCAGAAGAGGAGAGUGGAAUUCCAUGUGUAGCGGUGGAAUGCGUAGAUAUAUGGAAGAACACCAGUGGCGAAGGCGGCUCUCUGGUCUGUAACUGACGCUGAGGCUCGAA
rnacentral:rRNA from 1 species